UCAUUUGCUUAAUCACUUGAUUUUAUUUUCGUCUCCUUUCCGUCUUCGCAACUAGAUGAAGUCAGCAAUAAGGUAGCAAAGUACGGAGGUGUCUUUUGCCAGGUCCCACUCGUCGAUCAAUAAAUCAUAAGUGAAAGCAGUCCAACCAUAACAAUAGUAAUAUUUCAGUGCGACAAGAAUUAAAAAAAAGGAAAAAGUUAUAGAGAAAAACUAAAAAAAAUGUAUUAUUGUGCGUGAAGAGUUUGAAGAAAAAUCGUUUUUCUUCCAAAAAUGACGAGAAAAUCUCCAUCAAAGUCCCUUUAUUGUCUUUUGAGAAAGUUAAUAGACUUACGUGAAUGGUAAUGCAUUACAGACAUGAGGAAUUGGAGACUAAAAAUUUAUUAAAAAGAAAGAACCAUCAGCUCUGAAAUUAAAAUAUUUUUUCCUGUUUUUUUCUUCACAAUCGCAUUCUUAGUUUGAUUGCUAUUCCAGGAAUUAUGUUAUCUUCAAUUUUUUAAUGUGCACAAAGUAAACACAUGAUACGACUCACCAUUAUCCCCAGGCUCCUCGAUUGCAGUGUUUUCCUGCAAAGAGAAAAUUUAAAAAUAGAAUCAUAAUAAUAGAAACGAAUAUCAUUCGUAAAUGUUCAUUGAAUGAACGUUGACGGUUUGCAAUACGACACGUGUGCACAACUAUCAAAGACAAUGAGAAAAAACGGACAGACGCAAAAGUUCAUGAUUUCCUGGUGUUCCAUAAAUUAAUAGACUUUCGAUAUUUUCCACAUUGGAUAACGAUACAGUUAAUUCUUCUCUUGUAAUUAAUGAAGGGAUAAGUAAUUAAUUAAUGAUAAUACACUGACCAGUCUGAUGUCGUUGAUGCCAUAGAGCACAGCUGUUAAAUUAUUGCCUGCCAUAAUCACAAUAUUUCUUGGCAACGAAAUCAGAAAAUUGGAAACACUUGUGAUUGUUCGAUGUUCAGUGAGAGAAUGAACACCGACUGGUGCUCGUGUUCUCCACGAAACAGGUCGCGCAAA